rnacentral:rRNA from 1 species
UACAGAGGUCUCAAGCGUUGUUCGGAUUCAUUGGGCGUAAAGGGUGCGUAGGUGGCAUGGUAAGUCGGGUGUGAAAUCCCGGGGCUCAACCCCGGAACUGCACUCGAUACUGCCGUGCUCGAGUACUGGAGAGGGGACUGGAAUUUACGGUGUAGCAGUGAAAUGCGUAGAUAUCGUAAGGAAGACCGGUGGCGAAGGCUAGUCUCUGGACAGUUACUGACACUGAGGCACGAAGGCCAGGGGAGCAAACGGG